rnacentral:rRNA from 1 species
GAUGAACGCUGGCGGCGUGCCUAAUACAUGCAAGUCGAGCGAACAGACGAGGAGCUUGCUCCUCUGACGUUAGCGGCGGACGGGUGAGUAACACGUGGAUAACCUACCUAUAAGACUGGGAUAACUUCGGGAAACCGGAGCUAAUACCGGAUAAUAUAUUGAACCGCAUGGUUCAAUAGUGAAAGACGGUUUUGCUGUCACUUAUAGAUGGAUCCGCGCCGCAUUAGCUAGUUGGUAAGGUAACGGCUUACCAAGGCAACGAUGCGUAGCCGACCUGAGAGGGUGAUCGGCCACACUGGAACUGAGACACGGUCCAGAGUCCUACGGGAGGCAGCAGUAGGGAAUCUUCCGCAAAGGGCGAAAGCCUGACGGAGCAACGCCGCGUGAGUGAUGAAGGUCUUCGGAUCGUAAAACUCUGUUAUUAGGGAAGAACAAAUGUGUAAGUAACUAUGCACGUCUUGACGGUACCUAAUCAGAAAGCCACGGCUAACUACGUG